CAGAGUUCAUGCCCGAAAGGGUAGACCUCCCACCCUUGUGUAUUAUUACUUUGUUGCUUUGGCGAGACCGCCAUAGGGCCUCAUGCUAACAGCUUGAGUGUCACCGCACUCGCCAGAGGAAUAUCAAAACUCUUUUUAUUAAUGUCGUCUGAGUACUAUAUAAUAGUUA
rnacentral:rRNA from 1 species